CUGGUCUUCAAAAUUCUGACACUGCUCCAGGCCCUCAGGGAAAGGGGGGCUCAACGGGGAGAAGCGGCACUAGGAGCUGCCCACAGCCAGUAGAGCCUUGCAGGAGGCCCCGCUACCCCGAGAACAUCAGACUGGUUGGGACCAGAUGAAACAAGCACCUCAGAGGCGGGGGGCUCGGACCAGGCUUCCACAUGGCAGCAUGAGAGGGACUGUGGCUUAGGCUGAAAGUGGUGCAGGCACCGCAAGGAGGCCGGACGGGAAGCAGCGACAGGCACUGCCUGAGAAAGAGGAGCGGGUGGCCGGGUUGUGAGGUGGCAGGAGGGGCAAAGGCAGCUUCAAACACAAGUGGACAAGAGGAAAGGUUGAGGAAUGUCAAGCCAAGAGGAAGAAAGAAGAGAAGUCACUGAAGAUGGAGGAAAAGGAAAGGGACUCUGGGCACAGUAACUUGCCUGUAAUCAGGCCACCGGUCAUCUAAUUACACUGCAUCAUGAAGCACAAGUGGAGAAGAAGGAAGUGUCAGGAAUGCCACAGACAGAGGAGAAAAGAAGAUGGAGGAAAAGGAAAGGAACUCUGGGCACAGUACCCUCCCUCAAAUCAGCCUCAGGUCAUGUAAUUAGUCUGUAUGGGAAUCUCGAGCCUUUUAAUACCUUGAGCAGCGUGACCGCCCUGUAAGCUGGGUCCCGGUCUGUCCCCUUUGGACAUUCUGCUCCGUCAUCUGGCUAGUGUGAGUGACUGCCCUGUAAUCAGGGUGCCAGUCACCUCCCCCUAA